rfam:Myotis lucifugus cont2.1715, whole genome shotgun sequence.
GCCUGUUUGGCUCAGUGGAUAGAGCAUUGGCCUGUGAACUCAAGGGUCCUAGGUUCGAUUCCGGUCAAGGGCA